rnacentral:rRNA from 1 species
CAAGGAACUAAGAGUUUAUGGGGGAUACCUUGGCAUUCAGAAGCGAUGAAGGACGUGGUUACCGACGAUACGCUUCGGGGAGCUGGAAACAAGCUAUGAUCCGGAGGUCUCCGAAUGAGGCAACUUUUUAACUACUUAUUGAAUUCAUAGAUAAGAAAGAGCGAACCUAGAGAAUUGAAACAUCUUAGUACCUAGAGGAAAAGAAAGUAAAAACGAUUCCCUGAGUAGCGGCGAGCGAAACGGGAUUAGCCUAAACUUAAUUAUAAAUUAAGGGUAGUGGGACAAUAAUAAAGAAUUUAAUGGAACGAUUAGAGGAAUAAGUUUGGAAUACUUAACCAUAGAGAGUGAUAGUCUCGUACUCGAAAAUUGAACCAAUUCAAUUGUAUCCCAAGUAGCAUGGAGCACGUGAAAUUCCGUGUGAAUCUGCGAGGACCACCUCGUAAGGCUAAAUAUUCCUGAAUGACCGAUAGUGAAACAGUACCGUGAGGGAAAGGUGAAAAGAACCCCGGGAGGGGAGUGAAAAGAACAUGAAACCAUAAACUUACAAGCAGUAGGAGGACGACUAAAACGUCUGACUGCGUGCCUGUUGAAGAAUGAGCCGGCGACUUAUAGUUAGUGGCAGGUUAAAGUAGUGAAUACUGAAGCCACAGUGAAAGCGAGCCUGAAUAGGGCGUUUGUCACUAGUUAUAGACCCGAACCCGGAUGAUCUAACCAUGGUCAGGUUGAAGCUCAGGUAAUACUGAGUGGAGGACCGAACCGACUGAUGUUGAAAAAUCAGCGGAUGAAUUGUGGUUAGGGGUGAAAUGCCAAUCGAAUUCGGAGCUAGCUGGUUCUCCCCGAAAUGCGUUUUGGCGCAGCGGUAAAUGUUAUAAUUUAGGGGUAAAGCACUGUUACGUAUGCGGGCUGGUAAUUCGGUACCAAAUCGUUGCAAACUAAGAAUACUAAAUGUACAGUUUACCAGUAAGACUGUGGGGGAUAAGCUCCAUUGUCAAGAGGGAAACAGCCCAGAGCACCAGUUAAGGCCCUUAAAUAAUUACUAAGUGGUAAAGGAGGUGGGAGUGCAUAAACAAUCAGGAGGUUUGCUUAGAAGCAGCAAUCCUUUAAAGAGUGCGUAAUAGCUCACUGAUCGAGUAAACCUGCGCCGAAAAUGUAUGGGACUAAGUAAUUUGCCGAAACUGUGCGAUAUAUAUUUAUAUAUCGGUAGGGGAGCGUUCUGUUGUAGGUCGAAGUAUUAGCGUAAGCGGAUAUGGACGAAGCAGAAGUGAGAAUGUCGGCUUGAGUAACGAAAAUAUAGGUGAGAAUCCUAUACCCCGAAAACCCAAGGUUUCCUCCGGAAGGCUCGUCCGCGGAGGGUAAGUCAGGACCUAAGGCGAGGCUGAAAAGCGUAGUCGAUGGACAACGGGUUAAUAUUCCCGUACCGUUUUUUAUUGAUAUCGAGGGACGGAGAAGGCUAAGCUAGCCGGAUAUUGGUUUUACCGGUUUAAACGUUCGAGAUGUUGAGAAGCGGAGAAAACGCUUUGAGUUGAGACGUGAAUACGAGACGCUAAGGCGUCGAAGUAGUGUAUGUCAUACUUCCAAGAAAAGCUUGCACUGUCAUAAAUAAAAAAUGCCUGUACCAUAACCGACACAGGUGGGUAGGUAGAGUAUACUAAGGGGCGCGAGAUAACUCUCUCUAAGGAACUCGGCAAAAUAACUCCGUAACUUCGGGAGAAGGAGUGCCUUAUUUAUAAGGUUGCAAUAACAAGAUCCAAGCAACUGUUUAUCAAAAACACAGGUCUCCGCUAAGUCGUAAGACGAUGUAUGGGGGCUGACGCCUGCCCAGUGCCAGAAGGUUAAAGAAGUUGGUUAGCAAUUGCGAAGCUGAUAACUGAAGCCCUGGUGAACGGCGGCCGUAACAAUAACGGUCCUAAGGUAGCGA